rnacentral:tRNA from 1 species
GAAAGUUAUUAGGGGUUGCUUCUAACAACUCAAAGAGGAAUAUUAUAUCCUCAGCUUUUU